GAUUUAAAGUGAUAAAAUGCGUCAUUCAUUCAAGGAGUGAUGAAAUGGCAACUUGAAGGUCACCAAUCGCAAACCUUGUCACAUUUUUUUACACUUAGGCUACACAACCUUGAAAACAUCAUUCAUUUUCACACGGUUUCUAAAUGUAUCACAUAAAAUUAAUUUUGAAUUCACCUUAUUCUAAACCAUGAGUAUCUGCAACGCUGAUUCACACAGUUCAGGGAAAUCACUUCACACCUGAAAAAGCUCUCGUUUGGGCGUUCAGGAGUCUCAGGUCACCCGUGGGAGGGGUGUUGUAGCUGGUAAAGGUGACAUGAGCUCGAGCCCACGGGGCAAUAUGCAGUGUGAGAUAAAACGAGCUGCAGCGCAAAUCAUGACGCGUUUGGCGACUCCAAAAGCCAUUCAUAAGAGAAAGUCACAUUGAUGCUUCCAUUUGGAAAGAAAAAAUAUUUUUGUGUUGUAAGUACUAUAAAACUGUAUAUAUUUCUUUCUGACAUCAUUUGUUUAUCAAACGCUUUUAAAAAACACGAAGUGCAAUAGAGGACAUUGGAAACGUUUUACGCAAAAGAGAAUCAGGAUUUGCUUGCCAGCAAUAAACCCAAAUUGCACACAAAAACCUAAAAUUGGCAUAAUAGUUGCAAAAGAAGAGCGAAAUUGGAAAUUUGAACAACUUCUUGUCGACCUGAAUGGAAAUGAAGGUGUCGCCCGCGCUCGUGCUAUGCAUGUCUGUCACCGUUCACCUCGCGCUGCCUCAGCAUCAACUGCGCGUGCGCCCUAUGCCUAGCGACCACCUGCCGGUACCGGAUCUGCAGGAAGACCCGAACUCGGCGCUCGAACCGGGAGAGAGGGAUUCGCUUCCUCACUUUUUGAGGCGGAAACUCGGCAGCAGUUUUGAUCCCCUUUAUUCCUCUAUUGGCCCACCGACGCGGGGUAACGGGUCCCAGGUCACGCAAGGGGGGAUCGGUGUCAUAGGACCGAUGCCUCGUGAAUUUCACGAGCUUGAUCUCGCGGAGCUCAACGUGGGGCCGAAAACGGAGCGCAGGGUCCGGCGGUGGUUGUGGUCGUACACCUGGUGUUCGGUGCUUUGGGUGUGGAAAGAUCUGGGCGUUCGUUUCUGGCCACGAUACCUCAAGGAAGGACGUUGCACGAACGAACGGUCUUGUUCUUUACCGGAAGGCAUGUUUUGCAAACCGAUAGAGUCGGCGAGCGUCUCACUGCUCCGAUGGCACUGCCAGGGCUCUCGCGCCCUCAAGAGAUGCGCAUGGAUCCGUGCGCGCUACCCGGUGAUUUCACGAUGCGGGUGCGCGUGCUGAAGUGUCCGAGUUAAGGAGGCUUAACCUUACUAACAGAAAGCAGAUUUGUGAUUGUGCAUUAUUUGACGUAAUUGUUUGUUUGUUUGUUUGUUUAUUUGAUGAAGAAGGGCAAAUAAAAGUGUGAAUUAAAAUGCAGAUGAGUUGAAGUUUUUUGUGUGCUCCUUCAUUUGGAUUAUUGAUAUAGGUUUAAUAUGACUUUUUAAAUCAUUUAAAUAAUAGAAAAGAAAUCAACGAUAUUAUUAUAUGCACAUCAUGAAAAAGUGUUGUUGUUUGUUAAAACCACUUGUUUUGUGUAAGGUUGUUUAUGACUGUUUGUUUCUCUCACUUCUCCUUUUUUCUACGUGUUUCUCUCUCUCUUCCGUCACAUCUGUUUUCUUCCUCACAUCUUCUUUGACCGUCAUUUCUCAUUCACACGUUUCCGCGAACACAAAGAUGAACCAAACGGAGAUCAGUGUUACAGAUCUGUUCAUCACCAGACCUGAGCCCAGGCCAGUUAAAAACACCACACACAGAACAGUGUCUCGGCCUGACUGGAUACUUUACACAGUUCCUGCCUCAGCAUUUCUCAUUGGGAUUUUUCU